rnacentral:rRNA from 1 species
CGGGGUGGAGUAAUGUCUGGGAAACUGCCUGAUGGAGGGGGAUAACUACUGGAAACGGUAGCUAAUACCGCAUAACGUCUUCGGACCAAAGUGGGGGGACUUCGGGCCUCACGCCAUCGGAUGUGCCCAGAUGGGAUUAGCUAGUAGGUGGGGUAAUGGCUCACCUAGGCGACGAUCCCUAGCUGGUCUGAGAGGAUGACCAGCCACACUGGAACUGAGACACGGUCCAG